rnacentral:rRNA from 1 species
AACGAACGCUGGCGGCAGGCCUAACACAUGCAAGUCGAACGAAGUCUUCGGACUUAGUGGCGCACGGGUGAGUAACACGUGGGAAUAUACCUUACGCUGGGGGAUAACAUCGGGAAACUGAUGCUAAUACCGCAUACGCCCUUCGGGGGAAAGAUUUAUCGGCGAAAGAUUAGCCCGCGUCCGAUUAGCUAGUUGGUGAGGUAAUGGCUCACCAAGGCUCCGAUCGGUAGCUGGUCUGAGAGGAUGACCAGCCACACUGGGACUGAGACACGGCCCAGACUCCUACGGGAGGCAGCAGUGGGGAAUAUUGGACAAUGGGCGCAAGCCUGAUCCAGCCAUGCCGCGUGAGUGAUGAAGGCCUUAGGGUUGUAAAGCUCUUUCACCCACGACGAUGAUGACGGUAGUGGGAGAAGAAGCCCCGGCUAACUUCGUGCCAGCCGCCGCGGUAA